UACGGAGGGUGCAAGCGUUAUCCGGAUUCACUGGGUUUAGAGGGUGCGUAGGCGGGCAUGUAAGUCCGUGGUGAAAUCUCCGAGCUUAACUCGGAAACUGCCAUGGGUACUAUGUGUCUUGAAUGUUGUGGAGGUGAGCGGAAUAUGUCAUGUAGCGGUGAAAUGCUUAGAUAUGACAUAGAACACCAAUUGCGAAGGCAGCUCACUACACAAAUAUUGACGCUGAGGCACGAAAGCGUGGGGAUCAAACAGG
rnacentral:rRNA from 1 species